GUCUUUCAAUCAAUUUCAAUUCAAGAAAACCUUAUUUCAUUUCUUGUCUUUCAAUCAAUUCUAAUUCAGUAAAAUCUUAUUUCAUUUCUUGUGUCUUUCAAUAAAUUUCAAUUCGGUAAAACUCAUUUGAUUCAAUUAUUUGUUUCACAACUUAAUAAUAAAUCUCUAUUGUUAAUUCUGUAAACUAAAUCAGAAUAAAUCUGAACAUCAAUUCUGUAUAAUUCAGUUGUUGAUAAUUUUCAUAAACUCAACUCUGUAAAUAUCUUAUAUAUAUACUAUAUUCUUUACAACGUGGUCCCUUUUUGUGAAGAAUGAAGGUCAGAGCAUAUACAGCAGUUGAGUGACGAUAUGGUGAUCAUUGGAGCGGAUGCCGUUACAGUGAACGAAUGUAUAAAGCAGUUGAGUGCGGAAUCACGCCGACAGAUUAUUCCUGGAUCAACAGCUAGCUGUACCUGGCGAAUUUGUUGAACAAGUGCGGAUUUGAUGAUUUGAAUCCUCCGACGACAUCGAUGGAGCUCACUUUCCUACGAUAACCAAUUCAGUUAGAAAAUAAUACUUGAAAAAAUGAAAUAAAUUGAAUUACGUUUGCUGUCUUCUCACUGUAUGCGUGGUGGACCUUCACUUAAUUUCUUAAAGUUAUAAUUUUUUUUUUAUCCCUUU
rnacentral:lncRNA from 1 species